rnacentral:rRNA from 1 species
ACGAACGCUGGCGGCAGGCCUCAAACAUGCAAGUCUAGGGGUGUAGCAAUACACACCGGCGGACGGGUGCGUAACGCGUGGGAACAUACCUUUCGGUACGGAACAACUGCGGGAAACUGCAGCUAAUACCGUAUACGCCCUUACGGGGAAAGAUUUAUCGCCGAAGGAUUGGCCCGCGUUCGAUUAGCUAGUUGGUGGGGUAAUGGCCCACCAAGGCUACGAUCGAUAGCUGUUCUGAGAGGAAGAUCAGCCACACUGGGACUGAGACACGGCCCAGACUCCUACGGGAGGCAGCAGUUGGGAAUCUUGGACAAUGGGGGAAACCCUGAUCCAGCCAUGCCGCGUGAGUGAUGAAGGCCUUCGGGUUGUAAAACUCUUUCGACGGGGACGAUAAUGACGGUACCCGUAGAAGAAGCUCCGGCUAACUUCGU